CAAGGAAUUUUCCGCAAUGGGCGCAAGCCUGACGGAGCAACGCCGCGUGCGGGAUGACGCUUUUCGGAGUGUAAACCGCUGUUCCCAGGGACGAAGCACUGACGGUACCUGGGGAGGAAGGCCCGGCUAACUACGUGCCAGCAGCCGCGGUAAUACGUAGGGGCCGAGCGUUGUCCGGAGUUACUGGGCGUAAAGCGCGCGCAGGUGGCUCAUUACGCCCGGCGUGAAAGCCCCCGGCCUAACCGGGGAGGGUCGUCGGGGACGGGUGAGCUUGAGGGUAUCAGGGGCUGGUGGAAUUCCCGGUGUAGUGGUGAAAUGCGUAGAGAUCGGGAGGAACACCCGUGGCGAAGGCGGCCAGCUGGGAUACACCUGACACUGAGGCGCGAAGGCGUGGGGAGCGAACGGGAUUAGAUACCCCGGUAGUCCACGCAGUAAACGAUGCCGACUAGGCGUGGGGGGACUUGACCCCUUCCGUGCCGAAGCUAACGCAUGAAGUCGGCCGCCUGGGGAGUACGGCCGCAAGGCUA
rnacentral:rRNA from 2 species